CCCCUAGACGUUCUGGGCUGCACGCGCGCUACAAUAAUACGCACAGCGAGUAUCACCGAGCUCGAAAGGGCAAGGUAAACAAUAGAAAAGGUACUGUAAUGGUUAUAGAUCCUUGUAAUUAUUGAUCUUCAACGAGGAAUUCCUAGUAAGUAUGUGUCAUCAUCACGCACUAAUUACGUCCCUGCCCUUUGUACACACCGCCCGUCGCUCCUACCGAUUGAGUGAGCCGAUGAAACUGCCGGAUGUGGACUAUUCAUAGUCUGCAGAAGAUAUUUGAAUCGUAGCGCUUAGAGGAAGGAGAAGUCGUAACA
rnacentral:rRNA from 1 species